CAUUCAACUAAUUAAGCAGUCACCCUUAUACAGAGCAUCAUAUUACUGUCAAAUAUCUCAAGAUAGUCUAGUAGUCUAACUCUGAAAAUCAAGUGUUCUUGUCAAACAAGCAAUAUUAAGGAAAUGUCCUGCAUUAGGGCUUUUUGGGGCCCCUGGUUGAGAAUGGGGGCUGUUGCAUGGGUUGGCAGUGUGGAUGGAUGGCCUCAAAGAGUGUAUGUUUACAGCCAAUGGCAUGCUGACCCAGUCUCUUCCUCUCGCCUAACCUUUGAGAGAGGACACUGAUUGGGAAGACCCUGACAGAUCACUGCAUUUUGCCCCAAAUUGAAUCCUAUGAUUGUCAAAGCUUUGUGGCCCCAGCCCCUUCUGUGCAUGGGGACAGUUGACCUAAUCCAUCUAAAAUACCUUCUCUUUGGUCAGAACACACAUGAUCUUGGUUACAUUGUGGUUGUUUCCACAAAGCUUUGAGGAGAACUGAACUGUCGUAACUAUCCAGGAUUGCUUCCUUUAAUUCCCUUUCUCUCCUUGUGUCAGAGUGAAUAACUGUUCUCUUGUCUUCUCGUCUUCAGCUCUAAUACAGAGGCUAGGCAACCCAAAACCAAAGACAGAUGGUGAGAGAGAGAGAGAGAGAGAGAGAGAGAGAGAGAGAGAGAGAGAGAGAGAGAGAGAGAGAGAGAGAUAGAGAGAGAGAGAGAGAGAGAGAGAGAGAGAGAGAGAGAGAGAGAGAGAGAGAGAGAGAGAGAGAGAGAGAGAGAGAGAGAGAGAGAGAUUAGAGAUAUAUGAGCUAGAGAGAGCUAUUAACACACUGUUCCUCACUAUCUUUGUGUUGCAGUGCCACCUCCAACAGUAUAGGCGAAGUGUACAUGGAGGCGAGGGAGAGUCAUCAUGGGAGGUGCCGCUGAGAGGCCAACACACACACUCACUUGUUAAUGGCUGACACACACCAGCGCCCAUUGGAACAUCAAGUGCUAUCAAUCUACCUUGCCCAGCAAAAAAACAUACCUGGCCCAAGAUCAGCUUUCAGGUGCGCUGUAAAUGUAUAUCAUGAUGUGGGUAGUGUUGAAACAGAACUGAAUGCUGUGCUCUCUCUGUUCCUUGCUUUUGACUUCAUGCACACUCAAGACAGUUGAUUGCAUGUCUCGUUUUACUGUAUAGUACUCUCAAUGCACUUUAGAAAUCUACAACUUUAUUAUCCAGUUGUGUGAGAGGUCUUUAAUGUUUAGGAUUUCACAUUGGACCUGUAUUAACAACCUCAAGCAUGAAUUAAGAUAUCAACCCAACCCCAUUAUCCCACUCUGUUUUACUGACGGUUGGCUCAGGAUCUAUCUGCUGUCAUUUUUGAUGGCAUUAAGUGGAUUGUCGUGGGUGGUUGUGUUCUAGGUAGCAAUGAGAAGAAUGUCAACCCCAUGUCUAAUGUUAAUUUUACAGCAAUUUGAAACAGAAGCAGGAAUGAAGUCUCCUGUCAUUCUCUGGGGUCUGUAAGAGGGUGCCACCAGUAUAGUAUUGUAUAUCAAUGGCCUUUUUCAUUCUCCUAAUGCAUUCUAAGUUACAUUGCACGAGUAGAAUCAUUCAAAGCACUAAAAAGGUAUUACCUUGGGUUGAAGGAACGGGCAUUUUAAAAGUGUUUGAGUUUAAGCUUAAUGAAAAGGUCAAUACAUUAAGAUAAGAAGGCACAGUAACUACCUGCAAAUAAACGGUCUGUAUUAUCAUUAUUUAGAGCUGUUUCUAAGUUGCUGAAAGUACAAUGUCUGUUAUCUUCAGCUCUUUUUAUUUACCGGUAUGUAGCACUAGUAAUCCCUGAUACUGAGCCAAUGGCGUAACAGUUAACCAAAAGCAAAUGAGUGAUUCUCACCAGAGCUAACCAAUAAGACAGCUGCUGCAAUAAAAAUCACCCUGUAUACAAUGGUCUUAUUGAUGUAUUGUUUACAGUUAUCCCAUAUCUUUUAAUCUGAACCUUUAUCAAUACGUACAUGUGAUGUAAAAUGGAGUAUAAAAUAGAUGACAAAUAGAGAUAUUUGAAGAACAGAUUUAAUGCCAGCGUUAAGUUCAGUAAAUCAGGCAAUUCAGUAAAUCAGAAGGAUACAUUCAGUGAAAAGUAUCAGCAGUAUUACACUGUUACAAACGGUCUAAGUAGUAUAUAGUCCAGAAACUUUGAGCCAAAUGGAACCAAGCAGCCAAAAUCAACAAAUUCUCUAGUACCAUUUUUAAAUGAUAACAUGAGGGAGGAUAACUAAUGUUAACUCACCUAUGAUUUAGACCUAGGAACAUACAAAGAACAUCUAUGUAUGUUCCUAGACUAAGACUGCCCAGGUGCCAAAACUAGGGGAAAUCACAUUUGAAAAUAAUUUCUUCUAUAAGUUUGGGGAAAUCUUGUGUCAUAUCUCCAAUGAGAUGUUCUUUUUUUAUUACAUUUUUUAUGCCACUGGCAGUGAUGAAGUGGUAUAUUCACUACAACAAUAUUUCAAAGGGCACAUGCAUGCUACCUCAUUGGAGAUUAAAAAGAAGAAAAAACAGUCAUAAAAGGAAUAAGUGAUGGAUGUUUUCUUGUCACCACAAAACAUGUUGUGGUAUUUUCAAUCAUGAGUCAUGUUUGAAAAUACCUGAUUGGUUGAAGGUGAAAUGAGUCAUAACUGAAAUACUCCUCCUAUAAUGCCUUUUAAGAAAUACAUACUACUGGUGUCUACAUUGUAUACACUGUUGAUAUGUUAUCUAAUUUUAUAUAGCAUGUGUUGCAAAUAUCAACAUAUUCCCUUUAAAUAUAAAAUGUUCUUUCCAUAAGUCAUAGUAUGAAUGAGACAAUAUACAGUGGUGUAAAGUAAUUAAGUAAAAAUACUUUAAAGUACUGCUUAAGUCGUUUUUGGGGGGUAUCUGUACUUUACUAUUUAUAUUUUUGACUACUUCACUAUAUUCCUAAAGAAAAAAAUGUACUUUUUACUCCAUACUUUUUUUCUGACAACCAAACAAACUCGUUACAUUUUGACAGGGAAAUGGUCCAAUUCACGCACUUAUCAAGAGAACAUCCCUGGUCAUCCCUACUGCCUCUGAUCUGGUGGACUCACUAAACAGAGAACAUCCCUGGUCCUCCCUACUGCCUCUGAUCUGGGGGACUCACUAAACAGAGAACAUCCCUGGUCAUCCCUACUGCCUCUGAUCUGGUGGACUCACUAAACAGAGAACAUCCCUGGUCAUUCCCUACUGCCUCUGAUCUGGGGACUCACUAAACAGAGACAUCCCUGGUCAUCCCUACUCGCCUCUGAUCUGGGGACUCACUAAACAGAGCAACUCCUGGUCAUCCCUAA
rnacentral:lncRNA from 1 species